AGCGAACGCUGGCGGCAGGCCUAACACAUGCAAGUCGAACGAACCUUUCGGGGUUAGUGGCGGACGGGUGAGUAACACGUGGGAACGUGCCUUUAGGUUCGGAAUAACUCAGGGAAACUUGUGCUAAUACCGAAUGUGCCCUUCGGGGGAAAGAUUUAUCGCCUUUAGAGCGGCCCGCGUCUGAUUAGCUAGUUGGUUGAGGUAAUGGCUCACCAAGGCGAAGAUCAGUAGCUGGUCUGGGGGGAUGAUCAGCCACAUUUGGACUGGACCACGGCCCAAACUCCUACGGGAGGCAGCAGUGGGGAAUCUUGCGCAAUGGGCGAAAGCCUGACGCAGCCAUGCCGCGUGAAUGAUGAAGGUCUUAGGAUUGUAAAAUUCUUUCACCGGGGACGAUAAUGCCGGUACCCGGAAAAGAAGCCCCGGCUAACUUCGU
rnacentral:rRNA from 1 species